rnacentral:rRNA from 1 species
UACGGAGGGGGCUAGCGUUGUUCGGAAUUACUGGGCGUAAAGGGCGCGCAGGCGGCUGCUCAAGUCAGGCGUGAAAGGCCUGGGCUCAACCCGGGAAUUGCGCUUGAGACUGGGCUGGCUUGAGUGCGGGAGAGGAUGGUGGAAUUCCCAGUGUAGAGGUGAAAUUCGUAGAUAUUCGGAAGAACACCAGUGGCGAAGGCGACUUACUGGACGACUGUUGACGCUGAGGUGCGAAAGCGUGGGGAGCAAACAGG